rnacentral:lncRNA from 1 species
AGGAAGCCUCCUGUCAGACUCUGUGCCUGGCCUGAGAUAUCCAGUUAACACCUGCAAUUCAGAAUACCCUCUCACCCAGCAAUAAAGCAUCCAGCCUUUGCAUCUGUAACAACCUCCUCUGUAAUUUGUGCAUUCUAUGGAUGCUCCAAAUCAUAAUACAAUCCAUCCAUGACUUCAGACAGAUGAAAACAGUUCCUUCUAAAAAAAGAGGCUGAUGUUUUUAAAAGACAGUAAGAGAAGAAUGUCAGCUCCCCAUGGCUGCAGUAGAAAGUGCUGGAUGAGAGGAGCAUCUCCAGAGCAUGGAAGACAAAGCAGCUUUAUCCUCACCUUUUCCACCUCAAUUUCCAUUUUCCUCCAAGGCAAAACUCCCACUCCUGGCAGAUUAAAUGAAAUGAAGACACUGAGCUCUGCAAGUACACUGCUUUUUGAAUCCCAGAGUGAACUUGCUUGUCAAAUGCCUCUUUAAAAAGCAAGUGAAGAUAAUUACAAGUCAGCUGGAAGUGCUGCCAAGAUAUGACCUCCAGGAAGGCCCAGAAGACAAGUGAUAU